ensembl:lncRNA novel transcript, antisense to ADGRG2and PHKA2
GAGGAGGAAGGAAAAGGGGGCGGCCCGGGAGAGCCGCUGCGAAAUCAGCAACGGGCGGGAACCAGGUUGCCUCCCUGAGUCCCUUCUCUCCCCGGCCGGCUGCCAACCACAGCCAAGGCCAGAGAAACAGGCCCUUCUGCCGCGGCCACCUGGGCGCCUUGGACCCGCCCUCCGGACUCGCCCCCGCCCCUGCCGCGGAGUGGAACGUUUGGAACCCUGAGGGGCACAGCUCCUCUAGCAAUUCCGAUGUGAAAAGAAGAUGGAUGGAGAAGCACUGAUUCAGCCAUGGCUGACAUGUCGGAGUUGGAAUGGACAGUGCCCGGACCUCACAGUCUCAGAGAACUGGAGAAGAGUAAAGCUGAAGAGGGCAUCAUCUGGUUACAAAUGACAAGUCCAGGGCUCCAGUGCUUUGGGGAUAUAAAUUCAUCCCAGGAUGAACAAAUCAUGCAAAGUUGUGUAAAAACCAUUUUCAAGCCAGGCACGGUGGCAUGCACCUGUAAUCCCAGCUACUCGGGAGGUCGAGAUGGGAGGAUGGCUUGAGCCCAGGAGUUCGAGGCUGCAGUGAGCCAUGAUUGUUGCGCCUGUGAAUAGGCACCGCAUUCCAGCCUGGGCAACACAGUGAGACCCAGGCUCUAAAACAACAACAGCAACAACAAGAAAACCAUUUUUAAUGCUUCAGGACUAAAUAUUGGGGAAGUGGUUAAGAACACGAGUUCUAGAAUCUCACCACCUCCACUUUCCAGCUGUGUGAAUUUGGAAAUUACCCAAACUGUCCAAGCCAAAAAUAAGCACUUUCUGGAUCUUGGUACUGUUUCUUUCUGGGUAACCUAGAAAGUCACUCCAUUGCUUUGAGCUUCAGUUUUCUCUUCAGCAAAGUGAGGAUAACACAAACUUUUCUACUAACCUCAAGGGGACACCGUGAGAUGAUGUAUGCGAAGGUGCUUCGUCAACCGCAAAGACCUACAGGAGUGUCCAGUUGUGUUGCUGCUGCUGUUGUUAAUCUUUAGUACCAGUACUAUGUAUGAAGUAGUACUAAAGAAUCUGUCUUUAGUACCAGUACUAUGUAGUAGUACUAAAGAAUCUGUCUUUAGUACCAGUACUAUGUAGUAGUACUAAAGAAUCUGUCUUUAGUACCAGUACUAUGUAGUAGUGCUAAAGAAUCUGUCUUUAGUACCAGUACUAUGUAGUAGUACUAAAGAAUCUGUCUUUAGUACCAGUACUAUGUAGUAGUACUAAAGAAUCUGUCUUAGUAUACACAGUACUGGUACUAAAGGCACUAUGAAGAAGGCCAGGCAUGGUGGCUCAUGCCUGUAAUCCCAGCACUUUGGGAGGCCGAGGUAGGUGGACCACCUGAGGUCAAGAGUUUGAGACCAGCCUGGCCAACGUGGCAAAACCCCGUCUCUACUAAAAAUUCAAAAAUUAGCCAGGCGUGGUGCCGCGAGCCUGUAAUCCCAGCUACUCGGGAGGCUGAGGUGGGAGAAUUGCUUGAAGCCGGGAGGCGGAGGUUGCAGUGAUCCGAGAUCGCGCCACUGCACUCCAGCCUGGACAACACAGCGAGACUCUGUCUCAGAAAAAUAAAUAAAUAAAUAAAUAAGAUACUAUGAAGAGACACUGGGAUUCUUCAAUGAAGAGCAAGGCAAGGACAGCAACGAUAACUUGGGGGAUUUGCCAGUCGGCAAGAGCCACUUCUAGAGCUUUUAUCCAUUUUGAAAUCAAGAGAUUACUGGCUUUGUUAUAACUUUAAAAGCCUUUGAAAUUGCCUCACA